GAGAGGUGAUUAUAAUUAUACAAGAAAUGGUCUUUUUUACUUUUAGUACUUUAUUUUAGUUUUCACAAUAGUAAUUGGAGAAUAGUGGAAAAUACAAAUACAAUGAUACAUGUACGGGAUUCAGUUUCAUUGAUGAUUUAAUUUAAAAAAAAGUAUUUCACUGCUUACAAACUGCUUAGAGUUAAUUAGAAAAAAGUUCCCAAUGGUUUCCUAGAUUGUUCCAGAAGCAUCUCUUAGCCUGCCAGACUUUUGCCAAUCUUUCAUCUUGAAAUCUGAGUGGUGUGCAUUUAUUAACAUCUGUCUCCUUAUUGGAACUCUAGGAUUUACGUAUAAGAGACAAUGCUGGGUUGCAAAUAAGUCUUCGCUUAAUAACCCUAUAAUUGUGAAUGGAGUUUUCAUUGCUAACCGAAACAUUGUGUGGACACACCACUUAGCAAUCGCAGUUUCAGUAGUGCCAGUUGCAGCUGUUCAAGCAAGACCUCACACUUGUCCUGUCUUGCCAAGCUCACCUCGGUCUCGACUCCCACAUACACACACACACACACACACCUAUCCCCACCGCCUUCUCUGCCCUUUUGGCCACUCUGGGCUCCGUUGUGCCUGCACUCCGCCACCAUCGCUCUAGCCACUUUGUGCUCCACUGCCUAGCCUGCCCCAACUGACCUUCGCAGACUUCUUCCUCCCACUGCUGACGAGGCACAUUUUGCCUGACUCUUUGCGAGGCAGCUGCUGGCUGCACAAGACUUUGAAGCCGUGCACCGCCUUUCUGAGGCCUGGCAUGGUCUACAAAAGAGCCAGGCCAGGUGCACUUCAGCAGUGGGAGGAAGAAGAUGACGAAGAUCGACAGGCAACAAACCAAGGGUAAAGGUGGACAGGGCGGCCGAAAGGGCAGAGUUGGGGUGGGUGGGUGAGUGAUAGGCACUCCCUUAAAUAAGUAUAAUAGGGUGUAAUUCCACUCACAAGAACUCAUUGGUGCCAGCUGCUUUAUUUUAUUACCUUUUACAAAUUGUGAAAUAUUUCCACAGUGAUCACAUAUUGUGUCACACAAUUGCAUUGACUCCCUUUGAGUAACCCGGGAGAGAUGGGAAAAUUUUCCUUCUAGGUUUCUGUGGCUUCUGCUGCACUGUGACCUACUUUGUAUUGUUUGCUAGCUGGAAGAGGAGGAGGAGGGGUUUGUGAAUGCCAGGUAUAUGAGUAUAGAGUUUGUUUUUCAAGUCAUUCGGCAGUGAAUGCAAAAAUAAGAAAAAACACCUGCCGUUAUAAAUAUUCAUGAUAGUUCAUUGUUUACAAACUACAGAUGGUUGUCAAAAUUAAAGAAAAGCCUUUUCCACUUUAUGUUUUCAGACCUGCAAACAUUUGUCCUCUUUAUGGAUUUUACUGGUGCACAAAGGUUAGA